rnacentral:lncRNA from 1 species
AGAGAGAUAGAGUAGAUGGUACAUUUAUAAAUGAGCAUCUUCCAUAUGCUUUUGCGAAAUUUGGCUUGGAAGGCAGAUGGCAUUUGGGCUAGCAAUUGAAGACUUGUCAGUCCAUUGCUUUCCUUUCUGUCCGCAAGAUCUGGGUACUCUUUUAGUAACCAAAGAGCAGUCUCUGCAUUCAAGGAAAACCAUGUUGGUAAUAAUAAUAAAUAAC